GCCUUCGUAGUGUAACGGUAGCACACUCGGCGUGUAUUCGAGAGAUCCAAAUUCGAGUCUCGGUGACGGCA
rnacentral:tRNA from 1 species